rnacentral:rRNA from 1 species
GAUGAACGCUGGCGGCGUGCUUAACACAUGCAAGUCGAGCGGGCAAUUUAUCUAGCACUGAUUACUUCAAAUGGCUAUCGCCAGUGUAAUCAUGAAUUUCUACCUUAUAAUAAAGAAAAAAGAAAUUCAUGUACGCAAAUAGUGAUAACACAUGAAAGAGGAGUGAUGAGUGCUGGAUAAAUUGCUAGCGGCGGACGGGUGCGUAACACGUGGGUAACCUGCCCCUAUCACUGGGAUAACACACUGAAAAGUGUGCUAAUACCAGAUAACAUAAGCUUUUGGCAUCAUUAGCUUAUCAAAGAAUUUCGGAUAGGGAUGGGCCCGCGUCUGAUUAGCUUGUUGGUGAGGUAACGGCUCACCAAGGCAACGAUCAGUAGCCGACCUGAGAGGGUGAUCGGCCACACUGGAACUGAGACACGGUCCAGACUCCUACGGGAGGCAGCAGUGGGGAAUAUUGCACAAUGGGC